rnacentral:rRNA from 1 species
UGGGGGAUAUUGCGCAAUGGGGGCAACCCUGACGCAGCAACGCCGCGUGAAGGAUGAAGGUUUUCGGAUUGUAAACUUCUUUUAUUAAGGACGAAACUUGACGGUACUUAAUGAAUAAGCUCCGGCUAACUACGUGCCAGCAGCCGCGGUAAUACGUAGGGAGCAAGCGUUGUCCGGAUUUACUGGGUGUAAAGGGUGCGUAGGCGGCUUUGCAAGUCAGAUGUGAAAUCUAUGGGCUCAACCCAUAAACUGCAUUUGAAACUGUAGAGCUUGAGUGAAGUAGAGGCAGGCGGAAUUCCCCGUGUAGCGGUGAAAUGCGUAGAGAUGGGGAGGAACACCAGUGGCGAAGGCGGCCUGCUGGGCUUUAACUGACGCUGAGGCACGAAAGCGUGGGUAGCAAACAGGAUUAGAUACCCUGGUAGUCCACGCUGUAAACGAUGAUUACUAGGUGUGGGGGGUCUGACCCCUUCCGUGCCGGAGUUAACACAAUAAGUAAUCCACCUGGGGAGUACGGCCGCAAGGUUGAAACUCAAAGGAAUUGACGGGGGCCCGCACAAGCAGUGGAGUAUGUGGUUUAAUUCGAAGCAACGCGAAGAACCUUACCAGGUCUUGACAUCCAACUAACGAAGUAGAGAUACAUUAGGUGCCCUUCGGGGAAAGUUGAGACAGGUGGUGCAUGGUUGUCGUCAGCUCGUGUCGUGAGAUGUUGGGUUAAGUCCCGCAACGAGCGCAACCCUUGCUAUUAGUUGCUACGCAAGAGCACUCUAAUAGGACUGCCGUUGACAAAACGGAGGAAGGUGGGGACGACGUCAAAUCAUCAUGCCCUUUAUGACCUGGGCUACACACGUACUACAAUGGCGUUAAACAAAGAGAAGCAAGACCGCGAGGUGGAGCAAAACUCAAAAACAACGUCUCAGUUCAGAUUGCAGGCUGCAACUCGCCUGCAUGAAGUCGGAAUUGCUAGUAAUCGCGGAUCAGCAUGCCGCGGUGAAUACGUUCCC